AGUGAACGCUGGCGGUAGGCCUAACACAUGCAAGUCGAACGGCAGCACAGGAGAGCUUGCUCUCUGGGUGGCGAGUGGCGGACGGGUGAGGAAUACAUCGGAAUCUACUUUUUCGUGGGGGAUAACGUAGGGAAACUUACGCUAAUACCGCAUACGACCUACGGGUGAAAGCAGGGGAUCUUCGGACCUUGCGCGAUUCAAUGAUCAGAUGUCGGAUUAGCUAGUUGGCGGGGUAAAGGCCCACCAAGGCGACGAUCCGUAGCGGGUCUGAGAGGAUGAUCAGCCACACUGGAACUGAGACACGGUCCAGACUCCUACGGGAGGCAGCAGUGGGGAAUAUUGGACAAUGGGCGCAAGCCUGAUCCAGCCAUACCGCGUGGGUGAAGAAGGCCUUCGGGUUGUAAAGCCCUUUUGUUGGGAAAGAAAUCCAGCUGGUUAAUACCCGGUUGGGAUGACGGUACCCAAAGAAUAAGCACCGGCUAACUUCGUGCCAGCCGCCGCCGUAA
rnacentral:rRNA from 1 species